rnacentral:misc_RNA from 1 species
AUGACAUGAGCCUCAUUUUUAAGUUUGUCAAUCAAUUCAUCCACCGAAGAAACAAUAACCCCAGCUUUUCUCUUGGGAGGUUCCGUGACUUCAAUGACCUCUAAAUCAGAUUUAAUUUCCACAUUCAACUCCUGUGGUGUGUACUUUUUGAUGACCUUGGAUUUUGCCUUCAUGAUGUUUGGCAGUGUUGCAUACCUUGGUUGGUUCAGUCUCAAAUCAGUGCUGCAUAAGAAGAGUCAGAACUAGAAGCCAUCAGAACAAGAGAAGACAUCCAGUUGAAACACAAGCCAAAAAUUUGGUAUUAGUGCACAAUAUUUUAGUAGCAUGCACCCACUGGCAUAAUCUUUUAGCUUGCUUGAUGCAACAUAAGCUAGCAAAAAAAUCAAACAAAAAUACUUUUUUUCAGGUUAUAUUAACCACUUAUUUAUCCUGGAAAUGUUGUGUAUGCUAAGAAUUUUUUUAGUACUUUAUUUAAUAGUUCAAGUAGUUGUAUUUAUUGGAUAAUACAAUAAGUUCCAUGGUGGCAUUACAGUUGUAAGAACUAUUCACAUAAUUAGCAGGACAUUUUUCACACGCUAUAGCAGUCGGCACUUAAGGCUGUAUUUUCUGGGAUGUGCUCAACCACAUCAGCAAGUGAAAAGCAAUUGACCAUAAAAGAACACAGGGAUCAAUUAACUUACGUGAUUACUGCAGGCAAGUCUAAACACAAAGUCUCAAGACCACCAUCCACUUCUCUUUCUACAGUUACUAGUUGUUUCUCCCUGUCAAGCAAAACCUACUAGAUAACAGCAGUGAGUCACUGGAAAAAACUGAACCAGAGAGGGAGGGAGAAACCAAGAAAGAACCCGUGAAAGGGAGAAUAGAAGCCCCAUAUACAACAUCAGCCAGUAAUAACAGCCGACACUUCUUAAACCUAUGAUGAGCUCAAUUUAACAAGGAAAUAUUCAAAUUUAAAACCAAUUGGAUCCUUCCACAUUGACACCAAAACCUUAAAAAGUGGUUCAAGCCCUAAAAUCCCUAAUUCUUUUACAAUCUAGUUCCACAAUAUUUUAUAUAAAUGCAAUAAAGACAACCAAGAUGUUGAAAAUUUGCAGUCUUGUUAAUAAAGGUAAAGUGAUAUUUCUUAAGUUUUGACAGCAAUUAUAAUGAUCAUCCAUUUUAAAAAAUCAGUAGAUCCACUUCAAAAUCUCUCUCACCACUAGAGUUUCUUCUCCAUCAUUGCCUAGUUAUAAGCUUCCCUCUGCACUACUUAUGCAUUACUGAUUCUAUAAGUAUUCGCUUAAAACAUUAAGUAUUGCCAAAUUUACAUGUAUGCAUUAAAGUCAUCAAACUUCUUGUUCUCCUUUGAUUGUGUUGUAAUUGUCCACAAUUGACAUCAUCAGUCUCCUCUAAGAAGAAUUUACACUCCGCUAAACAUUUUGAAAAGUAUGCAAAACCUGCACUAUUCUACCUCUACUCUACAUCAGCUCUCACAGCAAUGCCAUAAGGCUCGCAACAAAACAUAUCUUAAGGCUCGCACAAGAUGCUCAAACAGAUAGAAGCACAAAAACCAUAUCAAUGAAACAGAUGAUAAAAAAAAAAAUGAAAUCAUAAUAGAGGAGAAUCAUAUUCGAGUUUGCCAAAUAAAUGAUAGCAUAUAUCUGACUCACCUUAGAAGCAAAUGUCCCCUGAGGCCAACCUAGCAACCCUGCCACCAUUUGCCCUGUUUGAUUGCAAUCAUCGUCAAUGGCCUGUUUCCCCAUAAUAAUCAGCCGGGGUUUCUCCACUUCCACAAGCGCUUUCAAAACCUUAGCCACAGUAAGCGGAUACAAAGCUCCUGUAGCUUCCACGUGAAUCCCUCUAUCAGCGCCCAUGGCUAGACCGGUUCGCAGCGUAUCAACACACUGCGCCGAACCCAUACUCACAGCGACAACCUCGGAUGCCAAUCCCGCCUCCUUGAUCCGGAGAGCCUCUUCCAAAGCAAUCUCACAAAAUGGGUUCAUUGACAUCUUAACAUUCUGCGUCUCUACUCCGCUCUUGUCGGGUUUUACUCUGAUCUUCACAGCAUAAUCGACGACUCGCUUCACGGCCACAAGUACCUUCAUGGUUGAUGUCUGUCGGGUUCGAUGUAAGGUGAGGCGGAUGAAACGAACAAGCUAGAAUAAGUAGAGCUGUAACUUGAAAACUUUGAAAGAGUUACCAGUCCACAACGCAAAAUACAAG